rnacentral:rRNA from 1 species
GAUGAACGCUGGCGGCGUGCUUAACACAUGCAAGUCGAACGAUGAAGCCCAGCUUGCUGGGUGGAUUAGUGGCGAACGGGUGAGUAACACGCGAGUAACCUGCCCUUAACUCUGGGAUAAGCCUGGGAAACUGGGUCUAAUACCGGAUAGGAGCGCCUACCGCAUGGUGGGUGUUGGAAAGAUUUAUCGGUUUUGGAUGGACUCGCGGCCUAUCAGCUUGUUGGUGAGGUAAUGGCUCACCAAGGCGACGACGGGUAGCCGGCCUGAGAGGGUGACCGGCCACACUGGGACUGAGACACGGCCCAGACUCCUACGGGAGGCAGCAGUGGGGAAUAUUGCACAAUGGGCGAAAGCCUGAUGCAGCGACGCCGCGUGAGGGGUGACGGCCUUCGGGUUGUAAACCUCUUUCAGUAGGGAAGAAGCGAAAGUGACGGUACCUGCAGAAGAAGCACCGGCUAACUACGUG